UUCUGGUUGAUCCUGCCGGACCUGACUGCUAUCGGAUUGAUACUAAGCCAUGCGAGUCUUUGUAGUAAUACAAGGCAGACGGCUCAGUAACACGUAGUCAACCUACCCUAUGGACGAGAAUAAUCUCGGGAAACUGAGCAUAAUUCUUGAUAGAUCAUAAUGCCUGGAAUGGUUUAUGGUUAAAAUGAUUCGUCGCCAUAGGAUGGGACUGCGGCCUAUCAGCUUGUUGGUGAGGUAAUGGCCCACCAAGGCGAUUACAGGUACGGGCUCUGAGAGGAGAAGCCCGGAGAUGGGUACUGAGACACGGACCCAGGCCCUAUGGGGCGCAGCAGGCGAGAAAACUUUGCAAUGUGCGAAAGCACGACAAGGUUAAUCCGAGUGAUUUCUGCUAAAGAAAUCUUUUACCAGUCGUAAAACCGCUGGUGAAUAAGGGGUGGGCAAGUUCUGGUGUCAGCCGCCGCGGUAAAACCAGCACCUCAAGUGGUCAGGAUGAUUAUUGGGCCUAAAGCAUCCGUAGCCGGCUUUGUAAGUUUUCGGUUAAAUCCAUGUGCUCAACGCAUGGGCUGCCGAAAAUACUGCAUAGCUAGGGAGUGGAAGAGGUAGACGGUACUCAGUAGGUAGGGGUAAAAUCCUUUGAUCUAUUGAUGACCACCUGUGGCGAAGGCGGUCUACCAGAACACGUUCGACGGUGAGGGAUGAAAGCUGGGGGAGCAAACCGGAUUAGAUACCCGGGUAGUCCCAGCUGUAAACGAUGCAGACUCGAUGAUGCAUUGGCAUAAUAGCCAUUGCAGUGUCGCAGGGAAGCCGUUAAGUCUGCCGCCUGGGAAGUACGUACGCAAGUAUGAAACUUAAAGGAAUUGGCGGGGGAGCACCACAAGGGGUGAAGCCUGCGGUUCAAUUGG
rnacentral:rRNA from 1 species